rnacentral:tRNA from 1 species
GGAGAGAUGUCAGAGUGGUUGAUUGAGCCGCUCUCGAAAAGCGGUAGGGUCCGAAAGACCCUCGUGGGUUCGAAUCCCACUCUCUCCGCC